rnacentral:rRNA from 1 species
CAGUCGUACCGGCGGGUAAUCAGCCUUUUGGGCAUGAUUCUGUGGAGCGUGAGGAGUUAAACGCCUUCAUGCCUGCAUAUUCGUGUACUUUGGGUGUACUUGCCUGUGUGGUUAGUUAACAUCAAUUUUGGUCGUCAUAAAAUGACUGGAGGAAUGUAGCUUCGAUCUCGUAUUGAAGUGUUAUAGCCUUUGGUAGAUGUGAUUAGUCGGG